rnacentral:rRNA from 1 species
UGGGGAAUUUUGGACAAUGGGGGCAACCCUGAUCCAGCAAUGCCGCGUGUGUGAAGAAGGCCUGAGGGUUGUAAAGCACUUUAGGUGGGGAGGAAAGCCAAUGAGCGAAUAAUUCAUUGGGGUGACGUUACCCGCAGAAUAAGCACCGGCUAACUCUGUGCCAGCAGCCGCGGUAAUACAGAGGGUGCAAGCGUUAAUCGGAAUUACUGGGCGUAAAGCGCAUGUAGGUGGUUUGGUAAGUUUGAUGUGAAAGCCCUGGGCUUAACCUGGGAAUGGCGUUGAAAACUGCUGAACUAGAGUGGGAUAGAGGGCAGUAGAAUUUCCGGUGUAGCGGUGAAAUGCGUAGAGAUCGGAAAGAAUACCGGUGGCGAAGGCGGCUGCCUGGGUCCUAACUGACACUGAGGUGCGAAAGCGUGGGGAGCAAACAGG